rnacentral:rRNA from 1 species
GAUGAACGCUGGCGGCGUGCCUAACACAUGCAAGUCGAACGGAGAUUUAACGCUGAUGAGGCUUCGGCNGAAUCUUGUUAAAUCUUAGUGGCGGACGGGUGAGUAACGCGUGGGCAACCUGCCUCGUACUGGGGGAUAACAGUUGGAAACGACUGUUAAUACCGCAUAAGCGCACGGUAUCGCAUGAUACAGUGUGAAAAACUCCGGUGGUACGAGAUGGGCCCGCGUCAGAUUAGCCAGUUGGCGGGGUAACGGCCCACCAAAGCGACGAUCUGUAGCCGGACUGAGAGGUCGGACGGCCACAUUGGGACUGAGACACGGCCCAAACUCCUACGGGAGGCAGCAGUGGGGGAUAUUGCACAAUGGGCGAAAGCCUGAUGCAGCGACGCCGCGUGAGUGAAGAAGUAUUUCGGUAUGUAAAGCUCUAUCAGCAGGGAAGAAAGACUCGUAAGAGAGAU